GAGAGCAACUUGCGCUGGCUGAGGGAACGGCAGGUCCAGGCGGGCAGCGCUGUCCGGCGCCUACCUUUCUGCGGUGCCGGAAUCUGCUCGUCUGCAACCGUCCGCUUUGGUAGCUGCCAGCCACAUGGGGCUGUUGCUAAUGUGGCUGGUGUAGCUAAAGAGAUGAACGUUUUGAUUUAUUUUAAUUAAUUAAGUGGUUAUGUGUUGCCAGUAGCUCCCAUCUGGGCUGUGACUGCAUGGUCUGCGGACCUCACUCUGGCACCAGACUCUGAGUGGAGCUGCAUGCGGCCACCAGACAGUGUGGAGUGCCUCUUCGGGUUGUGUAGAAGUAGGAAAUGUGUCACCAAAAUAGGAGCUGUUGCUGCUGCGUUCUCUAGCGCACCUGCCUUGUCUGUACUGCUCGGCGUGGAAUGCCUCUCGGGCUCUGUUCACUGACACUGUUGCUGAUCUCCUUGGAUUUCCCUGGUCCAUUUGGAUCAAGUUCUUUCACCCGUUCACAUGAGCAGAUACCACCUUAAAACCUUAAAGUUUGGCUUAACACUUCUUGCCCUUUUUUUUCCUUUCUUUUAGUCUCUGCGAUAUGAUACCAGCUAUUUUGUGGAGUAUUUUGCCUUGGAUCUCCUGAUGGAGAACGGGGAGUGCCGUGGUGUCAUCGCACUGUGCAUAGAGGACGGGUCCAUCCAUCGCAUAAGAGCAAAGAACACUGUUGUUGCCACAGGAGGCUACGGGCGCACCUACUUCAGCUGCACGUCUGCCCACACCAGCACUGGCGACGGCACGGCCAUGAUCACCAGGGCAGGCCUUCCUUGCCAGGACCUCGAGUUUGUUCAGUUCCACCCCACAGGCAUAUAUGGUGCUGGUUGUCUCAUUACGGAAGGAUGUCGUGGAGAGGGAGGCAUUCUCAUUAACAGUCAAGGCGAAAGGUUUAUGGAGCGAUACGCCCCUGUCGCGAAGGACCUGGCGUCUAGAGAUGUGGUGUCUCGGUCGAUGACUCUGGAGAUCCGAGAAGGAAGAGGCUGUGGCCCUGAGAAAGAUCACGUCUACCUGCAGCUGCACCACCUACCUCCAGAGCAGCUGGCCACGCGCCUGCCUGGCAUUUCAGAGACAGCCAUGAUCUUCGCUGGCGUGGACGUCACGAAGGAGCCGAUCCCUGUCCUCCCCACCGUGCAUUAUAACAUGGGCGGCAUUCCCACCAACUACAAGGGGCAGGUCCUGAGGCACGUGAAUGGCCAGGAUCAGAUUGUGCCUGGCCUGUACGCCUGUGGGGAGGCCGCCUGUGCCUCGGUACAUGGUGCCAACCGCCUUGGGGCAAACUCGCUCUUGGACCUGGUUGUCUUUGGUCGGGCAUGUGCCCUGAGCAUCGAAGAGUCAUGCAGGCCUGGAGAUAAAGUCCCUCCAAUUAAACCAAACGCUGGGGAAGAAUCUGUCAUGAAUCUUGACAAAUUGAGAUUUGCUGAUGGAAGCAUAAGAACAUCGGAACUGCGACUCAACAUGCAGAAGUCAAUGCAAAAUCAUGCUGCCGUGUUCCGUGUGGGAAGCGUGUUGCAAGAAGGUUGUGGGAAAAUCAGCAAGCUCUAUGGAGACCUAAAGCACCUGAAGACGUUCGACCGGGGAAUGGUCUGGAACACGGACCUGGUGGAGACCCUGGAGCUGCAGAACCUGAUGCUGUGUGCGCUGCAGACCAUCUACGGAGCAGAGGCGCGGAAGGAGUCACGGGGCGUGCAUGCCAGGGAAGACUACAAGGUGCGGAUUGAUGAGUACGAUUACUCCAAGCCCAUCCAGGGGCAACAGAAGAAGCCCUUUGAGGAGCACUGGAGAAAGCACACCCUGUCGUAUGUGGACGUUGGCACUGGGAAGGUCACUCUGGAAUAUAGACCCGUAAUCGACAAAACUUUGAACGAGGCUGACUGUGCCACCGUCCCGCCAGCCAUUCGCUCCUACUGAUGAGACAAGAUGUGGUGAUGACAGAAUCAGCUUUUGUAAUUAUGUAUAAUAGCUCAUGCAUGUGUCCAUGUCAUAACUGUCUUCAUACGCGUCUGCACUCUGGGGAAGAAGGAGUACAUUGAAGGGAGAUUGGCACCCAGGCUGGGAGCUUGCCAGGAACCCAGUGGCCAGGGAGCGUGGCAGUUACCUUUGUCCCUUGCUUCAUUCUUGUGAGAUGAUAAAACUGGGCACAGCUCUUAAAUAAAAUAUAAAUGAAC
rnacentral:sRNA from 1 species